rnacentral:lncRNA from 1 species
GAAAAAUAGUCUGUUUUUUAUAAAUAGUGAUAUUUCCAUCCAGGAUCUUUAUUUUAUAAGUUUUGUGUGUAAGUGACAUCAUCUUCUUGAAAAAUAGUCUGUUUUUAAUAAAUAGUGAUAUUUCUGUCCAGGAUCUUUAUUUUAUAAGUUUUGUGUGUAAGUGACAUCAUCUUCCUGAAAAAUAGUCUGUUUUUAAUAAAUAGUGAUAUUUCAGUCCAAGAUCUUUAUUUUAUAAGUUUUGUGUGUAAGUGACAUCAUCUUCUUGAAAAAUAGUCU